rnacentral:sRNA from 1 species
AUUAAUAAAAAAGAGAUGCAAGCUUAACUUUGUUGUAUAAAUACAGUACAAAGUUUAAUCUUUAAUAUAUCUACUAUAUAUAAAGUCAAGGUUGUUGACCAAAUGGGUAGAUCAAUGGUUCACACAAUCCAUGCGGAUCAUGUGAGAAUCUCCUUGCACGGGCUUUGUACUUUUUAAAUUGACUCCUAUAUUCGUCAAGGUUGUGGAUGCAAUGCACUGCAAAUGGUUUAUUAAUUAUUAGUAGAGCAAGCUUUAGUUCUACAUACUCCCAAAAAAUUGCAUUCAUUUUCAUAAUUGACAUAUGCAUUAUAUGU